UACAGAGGGUGCAAGCGUUAGUCGGAGUGACUGGGCGUAAAGGGCGAGUAGGCGGGAUUAUACGUUAGAUGUGAAAUACACGGGCUCAACCUGUGAGGGUCAUCUAAAACGGUAAAUCUAGAGUACAGUAGAGGGGAGUGGAAUUUCCGGAGGAGCGGUGAAAUGCGUAGAUCUCGGAAGGAACACCGGUGGCGAAGGCGACUCCCUGGGCUGAAACUGACGCUGAGGCGCGAAGGCGUGGGUAGCGAACAGG
rnacentral:rRNA from 1 species